UACGAAGGGGGCUAGCGUUGCUCGGAAUUACUGGGCGUAAAGCGCACGUAGGCGGCUUUCUAAGUCGGGGGUGAAAUCCUGGAGCUCAACUCCAGAACUGCCUUCGAUACUGGAGAGCUCGAGUCCGGGAGAGGUGAAUGGAACUGCGAGUGUAGAGGUGAAAUGCGCAGAUAUCAGGAGGAACACCAAUGGCGAAGGCAGCUCGCUGGAACGGUACUGACGCUGAGGCGCGAAAGCGUGGGGAGCGAACAGG
rnacentral:rRNA from 1 species